rnacentral:rRNA from 1 species
GUAGUCUCGCACAGAUGCAUAUCAAUAAGCGGAGGAAAAGAAACUAACAAGGAUUCCCUUAGUAACGGCGAGUGAAGCGGGAAGAGCUCAAAUUUGAAAUCUUCAAGGUUUUCCCUUGACGAAUUGUAGUUUAAAGAAGUGUUUUCUGUUGAAGGUUUUGGUAAAAGUUCUUUGGAAUAGGACAUCAUAGAGGGUGAGAAUCCCGUAUUUGACCAUUACUUUCAGCGUUGUGAUACACUUUCAAAGAGUCGGAUUGUUUGGGAAUGCAGUCCAAAAUGGGUGGUAAAUUUCAUCUAAAGCUAAAUAUUGGCGAGAGACCGAUAGCGAACAAGUACCGUGAGGGAAAGAUGAAAAGAACUUUGAAAAGAGAGUUAAACAGUACGUGAAAUUGUCAAAAGGGAAGCGUUUGACACCAGUGUUGUUUUCUCGAAAAUCAAUUAAAAAGAGUUUGAUUUUGUUGUGUAUUGACCUUAACAGCUUGCAUUUCAAUUUUCUUGCUUUUUUUAAUGCACUUUUCGUUUAACAAGUCAACAUCAGUUUCUUUUGUUGUAAAAAGGUCAUUGGAAGGUGGCUUUCUUUCGGAGAAAGUGUUUAUAGCCUUUGACUCCUGCAAUCGGAGAGACUGAGGUCUGCAGCGUAGAUCCUUCGGGGUUAGAUACAUUUGUGCUAAGUUAUAGCUUUUUAUAGACAACUUGUUGACUAUGAUUAGUCUUGUAGCUUACUCGCUUAUGCUAUUUUACCUACGCUUAGGAUGUUGAGCGCAUGUCUCUCUCU